AUUGAACGCUGGCGGCAGGCCUAACACAUGCAAGUCGAACGAGUGGCGGACGGGUGAGUAAUGUCUGGGAAACUGCCUGAUGGAGGGGGAUAACUACUGGAAACGGCAGCUAAUACCGCAUACCAUCGGAUGUGCCCAGAUGUGGUUAGCUAGUAGGUGGGGUAACGGCUCACCUAGGCGACGAUCCCUAGCUGGUCUGAGAGGAUGACCAGCAACACUGGAACUGGUACACGGUCCAGACUCCGACGGGAGGCAGCAGUGGGGAAUAUUGCACAAUGGGCGCAAGCCUGAUGCAGCCAUGCGGCGUGUAUGAAGAAGGCCUUCGGGGUGUAAAGGACUUUCAGCGGGGGGGCGUUACCCGCAGAAGAAGCACCGGCUAACUCCGUGCCAGCAGCCGCGGUAAUAC
rnacentral:rRNA from 1 species